GACGAACGCUGGCGGCGUGCCUAAUACAUGCAAGUAGAACGCUGAAGAGAGGAGCUUACUCCUCUUGGAUGAGUUGCGAACGGGUGAGUAACGCGUAGGUAACCUGCCUUGUAGCGGGGGAUAACUAUUGGAAACGAUAGCUAAUACCGCAUAACAAUGGAUGACACAUGUCAUUUAUUUGAAAGGGGCAAUUGCUCCACUACAAGAUGGACCUGCGUUGUAUUAGCUAGUAGGUGAGGUAAUGGCUCACCUAGGCGACGAUACAUAGCCGACCUGAGAGGGUGAUCGGCCACACUGGGACUGAGACACGGCCCAGACUCCUACGGGAGGCAGCAGUAGGGAAUCUUCGGCAAUGGGGGCAACCCUGACCGAGCAACGCCGCGUGAGUGAAGAAGGUUUUCGGAUCGUAAAGCUCUGUUGUAAGUCAAGAACGGGUGUGAGAGUGGAAAGUUCACACUGUGACGGUAGCUUACCAGAAAGGGACGGCUAACUACGUG
rnacentral:rRNA from 1 species